ensembl:lncRNA
CAGACCCUUAGAACACUAUCAUCUGAGAAGUUCUACAUUAGAAGGAAAAAGAAAGGAAAAAAGGAAGUUGGGAGGAUUGGUGUUGACAGCAGAUCAACUGGGAGAGUCUAAAUGACAGAAUUUAGGAAUCCUUACUCUCUGAAGAGAGAUGCUAACAAGAAUAAGACGGUCCAGAGCACGUGCCUCUGGUCAUGUGAGACAUUGACACCUACUGUUGCAUCCCUCUCUGUGAUAAACAUAAAGACUGAGUGGAAGAAAUACGGAGCUCUCACCAGCAGAGACCAGCUGCUGUUCAGUGACUCCAGCCUGAGUCAGUUACAAGUCCUCUACAAGAACCCAUGUAAGGCCUUCCCCAGACCCCACAGCCAAGCAGAGGUAAUGCCAGAAGAAUUAAGUGACCAGUGGAAAGACAGUAUGUUGCUAACUCAAGAAUUCUCACAGCUUUCUCUAACUCCAGCUCCAGGGGAAUUGAUGUCUUCAAGACUCCAUGGGCGCUUGUACA